GGAAGCUUACCCAAGUGGUUGAAGGGGUCAGUCUUGAAAACUGAGAGGCAUCAAAAGUGCGCGGGGUUCGAAUCCUCAGCUUCCA